UACGGGGGGAGCAAGCGUUGUUCGGAUUUACUGGGCGUAAAGGGCGGGUAGGCGGCCACCGCAAGUCAGUUGUGAAAUCUCUGGGCUUAACCCAGAAAGGUCAACUGAUACUGCGGGGCUAGAGUGCAGAAGGGGCAACUGGAAUUCUCGGUGUAGCGGUGAAAUGCGUAGAUAUCGAGAGGAACACCUGCGGCGAAGGCGGGUUGCUGGCUGACACUGACGCUGGAACUGCGAAAGCUAGGGGAGCGAACGGG
rnacentral:rRNA from 1 species